rnacentral:rRNA from 1 species
GACGAACCGUGCGAACGUUGUUCGGAAUCACUGGGCUUAAAGGGAGCGUAGGCGGGCUAUCAAGUCUGGGGUGAAAUCCCGCGGCUCAACCGUGGAACUGCCUUAGAUACUGACGGCCUCGAGGGAGAUAGGGGCAUGCGGAACUGUAGGUGGAGCGGUGAAAUGCGUUGAUAUCUGCAGGAACUCCGGUGGCGAAAGCGGCGUGCUGGAUCGCUUCUGACGCUGAGGCUCGAAAGCUAGGGGAGCAAACGGG